GGAAGCUUCUUCACUGGGGAGGAACCUUGUGAGGCAGCUGGAUUUAAUAUCCAAUGUGGAACAGCCUUUGCCGCCAGCUGCACCGCCAGUUGUGAAUGAAGGAAAAUAUGCUAUUCCAAAGAAGCCAAGGAAGUGUAAAUGCAAAGAGUCACGUUGUUUGAAGCUAUAUUGUAAAUGUCUGGCAUCCGGUACAUUUUGUAACGACAGUUGCAACUGCGUCAAUUGUCACAACAAUGAAGGUAACAAAGCUGCCAGAGACGAAGCAGUUAAUGCUAUUUUUGAACGCAACCCAGAGCUUUGUGGCCGCCUACCACUCUCACAAUUCUAAUAAACCCAAAACAGAGUGGAAAGUGAUAAUAUGAUGAUGGGUAGAAAACAUUCAAAUGCACCAAUAACGUUCUGCCACGGACAGAAUGAAUGUGCGAGAUUUUGUAAUUUCUUCGGAUAUCAAGUGACCUGUGGUUGUAAGGAAGACCACACAUGUUGUUGUGAAGCUCCAAAACACUCACCUCCUUCAUAUGUUAUUACAUAAAUUCUUUAUUAAUGUUUCCAUUAUUUAUUAUAUUUUUAAGAAUAAGACCUCUCUUUUUUUCUUAUUUCCCUUAU